UAAAAUUAAAAAAAAAAUGAACUGUGUUCCUUCCAAAUUCAUACAUUGAAGUUCUAACCCCCAGGACUCCACAAUGUGACCUUUUUUGGAAAUAAGGGUUAUUGCUGGUGUAAUUAGUUAAGAUUAGGUCAUACUAAAGUAGGGUGGGUCCUUAUUUUAGUGGGACUGGUGUCCUCACAAAAAGGGGAAAUUGGGAAACAGAUGCACACACAGGGAGAACACCCUGUGAAGAUGAAGACAAAAAUGAGGGUGACACCAACGCUUGCCAGCAAAGCUUCAGGAAGUAGGAGAGAAGCAUGAACAGAACCAGCCCUGCUGACCCCUUGAUCUUGGAUUUCCAGCCUCCAGAACGGACUUCAGCAAAAUGUGGGAUGAGAACCUGACAUGAACCAGCUCUGUGACUGCCCUUAGCCUGUGCCCACUCAUCAUCUAGCAUUUAGCUACCACCAUCUGGAGAGAAAGGCACUGUCAUCUGCCACUCAAGUACUUUGCUCCAUGAAAGACACUGAGGACAAGUCUGGAUCUGUAACUGACACCCAUCGGAUGGAACUCUUACUGCCAGAGUGGGCAACACCAU